UCCAGAAAGAAGAGUAUGAAGCCAGUUGUCACAGUUUGCCUAGCGCUAAACGAAAAAAAGUUAACCAUAAAUCGAUCGUUUUUUCAUGGUAUAAGCGUAUAAAUGUCUAAAAAUCAAAUUAUAUAGAGUUUCUGAGCUGUCGAAAAAAAUCAUCGCAAUAUGGAAAACGGAUUGGAACCAUUUUGCUAUUGCCCUGAACGUGCAAACGUGGAAUUAUCGCAGUUUUUCGAAAUUGUUACUGAAUUUGUACCUAUAUGUCCCAAUUCACGCCAGAACCAUGUGGACUAUUGAGUUUUCCUGAUGAAAUGGAAUCGCCAGGACAUAACAUACCAAGAAAUCGCCAGGACAUAACCAAGCAUCUAGCUGCAGUUUUUCGUAUUCCAAUUCAAUCUGCUGUAAAGGAACUGUUACCACAGUGGCCUACGACUGAAGAAACGUGGACUUAGGACAGGAAAAAAAUCUGUAUUUUGAAGAAAGGCGCAACAUCCUGAAUUCGGUAAUAUUAUUUGAAUGCUUUAUAUACCUUUAUAAAAUAUCUAUUUUUAUGUAUACCUUUUUUGCAUUUUCGGGCAUUUUAUCGUCUAUCGGAUAAUAAUUAUCGAAAGACGAUCCUUUAACACGUUGAGUUCCACGGUUUUACAGCGACUCUGGAAAUUUUUAAAUGUAUUAUGACCAUCGUUUCUUAUUGUAGUUUAAGGUAUUUUUGUUCAAAAGGGAAUGGUUAUAAGCUUAUAUUAGUUACCUUUAUUAUCGUAUGCUAUACUGUCAGUCACUUGUGAUUGACGCAGCCUGAACGAAAAUUCGGAGUCAGUCACCGGUGACUGACGUGGCAGACAACGUGUUGAUCAACGAUACUUAACGAACAGGAAUACGGUUACUCAGGAUUAGAACGAUGUUAAAUGACGUCACUAUGAAAACUUUUUCUGUUGAUGGACCACAAUUCGACCGUCGUUUUUUAAAAAGUAUGUGGUACUGUAUAAUUCGAAAAAUUAUAAAGUUCUGUUGUCGGGUACAGUGAAAUAAGGUAAUACUUUUACCCACCGGAAAAUACUUUUAGCUACUUUUAGCUUUUAGCCACUGGAAAAAAUAUUUACGAUUAGUUAAGUAACCGGUGUUAUGAAGAGAAAUAAACGUAACAUGCCCAAUCGAUUCGAACACUGCCGUCGCGUUAUUCGGAAAAAUUAAAUAAAAGAGGAAUUCAACCGGUUCCUUUUGAGGCAACCCAUGACGAAACCGGUACUUUCGUAUUACCGUCACCGGAACCGAAAUACAAUAGAUAGCAAUUACCUAACCGGGUCGCUAACGCUCGGUCGGACCUAACUAAAGGAUCGUCUCCUAUGUAUCAAACUAACCGGGCAAUCGAUGGAACACAGGUUUGUUUGCGAAAGGCCGCCGCUUCCGACGGCGGGUCGGCUAAUACGCUAAUACGAAAGUACCACGAAACCUCUUCGGUCGCGUAAUAAAUAAAUAUCGAUUCAAAUAUAAGAGGAAUUCCUCCGGUUCCUUUCGAGGUAACCCAUGACGAAACCUCUUCGGUCGCGUUAUAAUGAUUUAUCGUUUAAUAUAUAAGAGGGAUUCCUCCG